CCGAGUUAGGGUCGCCCUCGCGCGCCCGACCUCCAACCCUUUGUCUACCCGACCUAUUUGUUGCUUCGGCAGGCCCGCCGCCCCUUACAGGGUGGCCGCCGGGGGUCUAACCGCCCCGGGCCCGCGCCUGUCGAUGGCCAAACCACAAACUCUUGUACCUAAACGUGUCGUCUGAGUUAACAAACAAAAUAAAUUA
rnacentral:misc_RNA from 1 species